rnacentral:rRNA from 1 species
CAAUCAGUCCGCGAGAUAGCCCGCAUGCUAUACCAAUGCAUCCCCAUGCAGCGACGCAAGAUGAGAACAGUGGCAAACGGACACGACGGGAACAACUGGGCCCGUGAUAUCCAAGGAACCAUCGGGAUACAUGAGAUUGGCCAGUACCUGAUGCUAUGGCAAACGAUACAGCAU